CUAUUUAUAAUGUGCCUGGGAGGACUCUGGCCUUGCUUGGUGUACCAAACAGCCCCAUUUGGAGCAGGGACUGGUGGGAGGGAGUAGUGAACCUCUUCUUAACCAUGUAAAUGUAGGAUUAUACAGAAUCCUACAGAAUAGGAUUAACCAUGCUGCAUACUAGGGCACAAAUACGAACAAAGUACUAUCCUGUCUUCCAGGAGGUUUCCGUCUGGCGGUAAACCAACAUGUAAAGAAUAAUUACAAAGCAAUGUUGUAAGUGCUAUAGCAGAAGUCCUGGAACAGAGGCGGGAGUAGCUAUCAGCUACAAAACAAACCAUUGAAGAAAGCAGCCUUAUUUGGAAUAUCAGUCAAUAACAGUGGAUUUGUCAAUUUUACCUUUAAAAUGUAACAUCUAAGUGAAGAUUUUAAAAGUUAAAAAAAAAAUUAAAGACACAGGGUCUCACUGGGUUGCCCAGGCUGGUCUUGAAUUCCUGGGCUCAAACGACCCUUGCACCUUGGCUUCCUGUAACUUGGAUUACAGGCACAUAUCACCAUGCCCAGCUUCAUUUUACUUUUAUGUUUGAAAUAUUUAAUCACUUUUGUUUUGUUUUUAAGUUACACCAAUGAGAAUAGGAAUUAGGUCCUUCUCAAAGGAGAGCAUCUGGCUGCCUCCAUUUCUCACUUCCUCCUCCCUCCUCAGCUCAAGAUAGGCAAGCUUCUACCCCUCCACUUCUCUGCCCCAGAGUUUGCUAGGCUUACCAAAAUAACCUUGUCCCCCGCCCGUGGAUACUUGCCACCACACCCAGCUAAUUUUCAUUUUUUUUUUUUGUAGCAAUGGGGUGUCACUAUGUUGCCAGGUUGGUCUCAAACUCCUGGCCUCAAGGGAUCCUCCCCUAU
rnacentral:lncRNA from 10 species